GUCGGUCCCAAGGGUAUGGCUGUUGGCCAUUUAAAGUGGUACGCGAGCUGGGUUUAGAACGUCGUGAGACAGUUCGGUCCCUAUCUGCCGUGGGCGUUCGAGAUUUGAGGGAAGCUGCUCCUAGUACGAGAGGACCGGAGUGGACGUACCCCUGGUGUUCCGGUUGUCACGCCAGUGGCAUUGCCGGGUAGCUACGUACGGACAGGAUAACCGCUGAAAGCAUCUAAGCGGGAAGCCCCUCCCAAGACAAGAUCUCGCUGGAACUUUAAGUUCCCUGUAGGUCCGUUAAAGACUAUGACGUUGAUAGGCUGGGUGUGGAAGCACAGUAAUGUGUGAAGCUAACCAGUACUAAUUGAC
rnacentral:rRNA from 1 species